AUGAACGCUAGCUACAGGCUUAACACAUGCAAGUCGAGGGGCAGCAUUUUAGUUUGCUUGCAAACUAAAGAUGGCGACCGGCGCACGGGUGAGUAACACGUAUCCAACCUGCCGAUAACUCGGGGAUAGCCUUUCGAAAGAAAGAUUAAUAUCCGAUGGUAUAUUAAAACCGCAUGGUUUUACUAUUAAAGAAUUUCGGUUAUCGAUGGGGAUGCGUUCCAUUAGUUUGUUGGCGGGGUAACGGCCCACCAAGACAACGAUGGAUAGGGGUUCUGAGAGGAAGGUCCCCCACAUUGGAACUGAGACACGGUCCAAACUCCUACGGGAGGCAGCAGUGAGGAAUAUUGGUCAAUGGGCGAGAGCCUGAACCAGCCAAGUAGCGUGAAGGAUGAAGGCUCUAUGGGUCGUAAACUUCUUUUAUAUGGGAAUAAAGUAUUCCACGUGUGGAAUUUUGUAUGUACCAUAUGAAUAAGGAUCGGCUAACUCCGUGCCAGCAGCCGCGGUAAUACGGAGGAUCCGAGCGUUAUCCGGAUUUAUUGGGUUUAAAGGGAGCGUAGGUGGAUUGUUAAGUCAGUUGUGAAAGUUUGCGGCUCAACCGUAAAAUUGCAGUUGAAACUGGCAGUCUUGAGUACAGUAGAGGUGGGCGGAAUUCGUGGUGUAGCGGUGAAAUGCUUAGAUAUCACGAAGAACUCCGAUUGCGAAGGCAGCUCACUAGACUGUCACUGACACUGAUGCUCGAAAGUGUGGGUAUCAAACAGGAUUAGAUACCCUGGUAGUCCACACAGUAAACGAUGAAUACUCGCUGUUUGCGAUAUACAGUAAGCGGCCAAGCGAAAGCAUUAAGUAUUCCACCUGGGGAGUACGCCGGCAACGGUGAAACUCAAAGGAAUUGACGGGGGCCCGCACAAGCGGAGGAACAUGUGGUUUAAUUCGAUGAUACGCGAGGAACCUUACCCGGGCUUGAAUUGCAGGUGCAUGAGUCAGAGAUGAUUCUUUCCUUCGGGACUCCUGUGAAGGUGCUGCAUGGUUGUCGUCAGCUCGUGCCGUGAGGUGUCGGCUUAAGUGCCAUAACGAGCGCAACCCUUAUCUUUAGUUACUAACAGGUCAUGCUGAGGACUCUAGAGAGACUGCCGUCGUAAGAUGUGAGGAAGGUGGGGAUGACGUCAAAUCAGCACGGCCCUUACGUCCGGGGCUACACACGUGUUACAAUGGGGGGUACAGAAGGCGGCUACCUGGUGACAGGAUGCUAAUCCCAAAAACCUCUCUCAGUUCGGAUCGAAGUCUGCAACCCGACUUCGUGAAGCUGGAUUCGCUAGUAAUCGCGCAUCAGCCAUGGCGCGGUGAAUACGUUCCCGGGCCUUGUACACACCGCCCGUCAAGCCAUGAAAGCCGGGGGUACCUGAAGUACGUAACCGCAAGGAGCGUCCUAGGGUAAAACUGGUAAUUGGGGCU
rnacentral:rRNA from 1 species